UGACUGAAGCGCGAGACGCGCGUGCCACCGCGAGCCGCUCCAGUGCGUCAAGCUAACGAGAGUCACGCAGAGCGUCACCGGAACAAGGGACUGACCGGAUGCCACUGUGAUGGCGCAUCUUGGAGUUUGAUGAUGGAAACCGUGAGCGCUGUCUGGAGCCACACUGUUUGCAGAAACCGCGCACCAAGCGACUGGACACAUACACACACGCACGAAUGCGCGUGAGGGACAGUGGGCUGUUUGUGUAUUCAAUUACUUUACUGAAGAUGAAGAAGGCCUGGGUUUAUUUGCUUUUAAGCCUUCCUAAGGCAGGUUUUGUCAAAACCGAAACAGGUCUCCACUAAAAUAAAUUUGUAAAAAAAAUAGAAAAAAGGUCAUACUCCAUCUUUUUGCUUAUUUACCUUAAAACCCAACUAAAUUUUGUUCAAUCUGGUGAUUAGAAAGAGUGAAGAUAAACAAAAAUUUACCGUUUGGCAAAAUGAAUGCUUUAGCAAGAUUUUUUUCUCUCAAAUGCUGCAAUCAAAAUGAACAUUUAGCUUAAUAUUUCUGUCACUUAUUCUGACCUGCAUUCAUCAGUUUGAUGAAGGGUAGGCAGACAACCUAUUGUCAUCAAAACAGCCAAUCCAAUCAACUAUUUCAUAUUACGAGAACUCUUCUAGGUCACAGAUAAACCGAAAAAAUGCUGAGUUUGCUAUGAAAAUAUCACUGUAAUUGUGUGAAUUUAAUGAGCUCAAAAUGCUUAUUUAUAGCUAAAUCAGACCAAAUUAUCAAUUCUGUAGAAGACGGACUGGAAACAACUGUUGAAAAUGCAUUGUUGUUGUCCUUUUUUAAUCCACAUUUCAAAAUAAAAUCUACAUAUUUUGUCAUAUG